rnacentral:rRNA from 1 species
UUAGUUGGUGGAGUGAUUUGUCUGGUUAAUUCCGAUAACGAACGAGACCUUAACCUGCUAAAUAGUUAGGCAAUUCCUUAGAAUUGUCGCCAACUUCUUAGAGGGACUAUCAGUGUUUAACUGAUGGAAGUUUGAGGCAAUAACAGG